rnacentral:rRNA from 1 species
AUUGAACGCUGGCGGCAGGCCUAACACAUGCAAGUCGAGCGAGCGGCGGACGGGUGAGUAAUGUAUGGGGACUGCCCGAUAGAGGGGGAUAACUUGUGGAAACGGUAGGUAAUAGCGCAUAAUAACGGAUACCCCAUAUGGGAUUAGCGAGGAGGUGGGAGAAAGGCUCACCUAGGCGACGAUCUCUAGCUGGUCUGAGAGGAGUAUCAGCCACACUGGGACUGAGACACGGCCCAGACUCCUACGGAGGCAGCAGGGGGGAAUAUUGCACAAUGGGCGCAAGCCUGAUGCAGCCAUGCCGCGUGUAUGAAGAAGGUCUUAGGGUUGUAAAGUACUUUCAGCGGGGAGGCGUUACCCGCAGAAGAAGCACCGGCUAACUCCGUGCCAGCAGCCGCGGUAAUUC